GAUCAUGGCUCAGGAUGAACACUGGCGGCGUGCCUAACACAUGCAAGUCGAACGGAACUAUUUUGGAAACUCCUUCGGGAGCGGAAUCUUUAGUUUAGUGGCGGACGGGUGAGUAACGCGUGAGCAAUCUGCCUUUAAGAGGGGGAUAACAGUCGGAAACGGCUGCUAAUACCGCAUAAAGCAUCAAAUUCGCAUGUUUUUGAUGCCAAAGGAGCAAUCCGCUUUUAGAUGAGCUCGCGU
rnacentral:rRNA from 1 species